rnacentral:rRNA from 1 species
AGAGUUUGAUCAUGGCUCAGAACGUACGCUGGCGGCACGCCUAACACAUGCAAGUCGAACGCAGUAGCAAUACUGAGUGGCAGACGGGUGAGUAACAUGUGGGAAUCUGCCUUGUGGUUCAGGACAACAUUGGGAAACCGAUGCUAAUACUGGAUAAGCCCUUACGGGGAAAGUUUUAAUGCCAUAAGAUGAGCCCGCAUUUGAUUAGUUAGUUGGUGAGGUAAUGGCUCACCAAGACAAUGAUCAAUAGCUGAUCUGAGAGGAUGAUCAGCCACACUGGGACUGAGACACGGCCCAGACUCCUACGGGAGGCAGCAGUGGGGAAUCUUGCACAAUGGAGGAAACUCUGAUGCAGCGAUGCCGCGUGAGUGAAGAAGGCCUUUGGGUUGUAAAGCUCUUUUGUAGGGGAAGAUAAUGACUGUACCCUAAGAAUAAGGUCCGGCUAACUUCGUGCCAGCAGCCGCGGUAAUACGAAGGGACCUAGCGUAGUUCGGAAUUACUGGGCGUAAAGCGCGCGUAGGCCGUUGAGUUAGUUAAUUGUGAAAUCCCAAAGCUUAACUUUGGAACUGCAAUUAAAACUGCUCGACUAGAGUUUGAUAGAGGAAAGCGGAAUACAUAGUGUAGAGGUGAAAUUCGUAGAUAUUAUGUAGAACACCAGUUGCGAAGGCGGCUUUCUGGGUCAACACUGACGCUGAGGCGCGAAAGUAUGGGUAGCAAAGAGGAUUAGAUACCCUCGUAGUCCAUACCAUAAACGAUGAUUGCUAGAUGUUGGAAAUUUAUUUUCAGUAUCGCAGCUAACGCAUUAAGCAAUCCGCCUGGGGAGUACGACCGCAAGGUUAAAACUCAAAGGAAUUGACGGGGGCCCGCACAAGCGGUGGAGUAUGUGGUUUAAUUCGACGCAACGCGAAGAACCUUACCUGGGCUUGAAGUGCUAGUGGUAGAAACCGGAAACGGCGACGACCCGCAAGGGAGCUAGCAGAGGUGCUGCAUGGCUGUCGUCAGCUCGUGUCGUGAGAUGUUGGGUUAAGUCCCGCAACGAGCGCAACCCUUAUCCCAUGUUGCCUGGCUGUCAUGGCCGGGAUCUCUGAGGAAACUGCCCGUGAUAAACGGGAGGAAGGUGGGGACGACGUCAAGUCAUCAUGGCCUUUAUGUCCAGGGCUACACACGUACUACAAUGGCCGGUACAGCGGGAUGCGAGACAGCAAUGUGGAGCAAAUCCCUGAAAGCCGGCCCCAGUUCAGAUUGUGGGCUGCAAUUCGCCCACAUGAAGGUGGAAUCGCUAGUAAUCGCAGAUAAGCAUUGCUGCGGUGAAUACGUUCCCGGGUCUUGUACACACCGCCCGUCACACCAUGGGAGUGUAUUGCACCAGAAGCAGGUAGCCUGACCGCAAGGGGGGCGCCUACCACGGUGUGGUCCAUGACUGGGGUGAAGUCGUAACAAGGUAGCCGUA